CACUGGGCAGGCAGUACCUUUAAUACUUGGGUGGCUAAUGGCUAUGUUUUUGUUAAACAGUUGGAAAGGUUGUUUGCCGAGUUCCUUUUUAGGUCUGAUGAUGUGUUAAAGUUUUGUUCUUAGAGAGUGUCUCUUGUUACUAAUUCUAGCAUCGUUUCUUCUAUUUUUGAAUAGAGUAGCCUGGCUUGGAUUCUUCUUGUCUGCUGUGUUCUUGCUAGACGGUGAUGCAAAAGGUACGUGGGUUAAUCCCUGCUGUAAUGUGCUGGUGUUGUAUGUGGUGUUUUCCUUUACAGUACUUUCUCUAUUGCGUCAUAUGAGUGAUGUUCGAUCGCAUCUACUAGUCUUAGUAUAAUGUUUUGGGUUAUUUUAAUGGUUGGUUUGUGGGUUUGGAUGGGCUUAAGGUAGGCUCAAAAAGGCUGCGGUGUUUGGCGUCUUCCGAUUGUAAAACGGGUGCUUUAGAGUAAGCUACUUUUUGCUCCAAGCACACCUUCCGGUGCGCUUACCGUGUUACGACUUGCCCCGUCUUCAGGUGUAUUUGCUGAAAAUGGGGGUGACGGGCGGUUUGUGCGUACCCCAGCGCAUAGAUUCAGAUCAAUGUUCUUAUUGAUCUUACUACUAAAUCCUGCUUAGUUCGAGGUUAAAUGGGUGAAGUUCAGCUCGAGUUUCGUUUGGCCAUGAAUGUGGCAUUGUAGCCCAUGCGUGCCACCUCAUAAGCUGCACCUUGACCUGUCGUUUUUAUGGGGGGGUUGUUUAGCUCCGUUCUCUUGGGAGGUGGGCUGACGACGGCGGUAUACAG
rnacentral:lncRNA from 1 species